GUGUUUGUGAGGAGUAAAAAAAACUGCAGAACGACGGCUCAUAACACCACAAACGUGAAUAGGAUUUUGUUGCGGUGGUCGAAGCAGGAAAACGCAACAGCAGUCUCACCUGUCGUUGAGCAUCAGGGCGUUCCAGUAGGCUUCUAGCGGAGCCGUUACCACGGCGUCAAACAGAGUCUGCUGCAGCAGCACCUCGUCGCCUAGGCAACAGACAGGCCCGGUCAAACAAAGCUGCCGGAGCGAUGGAGGGAAAGGCCCAGAGGAUCAUGGGAGAAUGAGCCGAAACACAAGGAGGAAGCAGACAGACAGAUGAAGCUCUCUGAUUGGCCGGCUCGGCUCACCACAGUGUCCAUGUAGGCUUCCGUCCAAAUGAUGUCAUGGUCGUGGUUGAUGACCAUUGGUCGGCUGAGCACGUGCAGGUACUCCAUGACGUUCUCCUGCACGUCGGCCAGCGUGGAGAUGCGAUCCACUUGGUGUUUUGAGCGAAGGUCAUCUCUCUGCCGAUCAGGUGGAGGUGUAUCUGAUGAAAUGUGUUCAAAUGUGCUGUGUUGGUCCUCGGGCUCUGUGGGUCUCAGCUCUAGCUCCUCCUCCUCCUCCCUUGUGCUAUUGGCUGGUCAAUCUGGGGAGCCAAUCAUGGUCCGUCUGGGGGUAUAUAAAGGCUGAGGAGCUGCACUUCAAGGCCUCUUACACCCAGAGUGUUUGUGUAUUGUGAGCUAUUUUGUCAGGACUUGGUUCACAGCUCCUUUGUAUGUUGUCGGAUUAAUGUCAGAAAGGAAGUGAUUUCGCUGUUAGAUCAGAUAAUCAAUUAGUUAAGGAAGUUUUUUGUAUCUUAACGUCUACCUUUAACUCCUUCCCAGCUGCUAUUCUUGUUACAUUCCCUUUUCUCCUGUUUUUCUUUGUGUUGAUAGGGAGUUGAGGGUUGUAACUUUUUGGGUAGUUUUAGUAUUGUGAUUUUAUUUCUACUCAGGGCUGGUUGGUUUGUUAUUUUGGCCAGGUUCUCCCUGAUGCUACAUCUAUAUCUAUAUCUUUUCUAUAUCUGGCAAUAAAAGAUUGAAAUACUGAACAAACUGACUCCAGGUAUUCUUCAUCUACUUUUAUGUUACUCUCCUCUCCUCUCCCCUUUGUAACAGCUGUCAGUCUUUAAAGUCACUAUGUGUAGAUUGUUUCUGUAAUUAUGGCAUCUUUUUUUAAUUUGAGUAUAUUUUUUUGAUGAUCACCAGACGUACACUGUUAUAAUUAAAGCUUUUAACCAAUAACCAUGAGCUCCUGACCUUCCUCCAGAUUCUGCCUCAUUGACCCGUUUCUUGAGGUAACAAGUUGAGCUUCAAUAGCA